UACGUAGGUGGCAAGCGUUGUCCGGAUUUAUUGGGUUUAAAGGGUGCGUAGGCGGCUUUGUAAGUCAGUGGUGAAAUAUGGCAGCUUAACUGUCAGGGUGCCAUUGAUACUGCAGAGCUUGAGUACAGAUGAGGUAGGCGGAAUUGACGGUGUAGCGGUGAAAUGCUUAGAUAUCGUCAAGAACACCUAUAGCGAAGGCAGCUUACUAGGCUGUAACUGACGCUGAGGCACGAAAGUGUGGGGAGUCAAACAGG
rnacentral:rRNA from 1 species